rnacentral:snRNA from 1 species
GUGCUGGCUUCAGCAUCACUUAUACAAAAAUUGGAAUAAUCCAGAAAAGAUUAGCCUGGUCCCUGCUUAAGGAUGACAUGCAAAUUUGUGAAGUGUUCCAGACUUUU